UUGGCUCUUAAUCAAGAUCAGCAGUUUGCUGAAGCUAUUGGUUUCAAGCAGAGCCUAAAGGAAAUAUCUUUCUCUGGUCUGGUAACCAUUUCAGAACUUCACAAAUGUAAUAGUCAACUCAUUAGAAAGAAGUACAA